GCGUGUUUGCAGCUCUUGGGGGCUUUUCCCCGAGGAGGGAGAAGGGACCGACGGGCUGCCCUUCUCCCUCUUUGGGGAAAAGCCCCCAAGAGCUGCAAACACGC